rnacentral:rRNA from 1 species
AGCAGUAGGGAAUCUUCCACAAUGGACGAAAGUCUGAUGGAGCAACGCCGCGUGAGUGAAGAAGGGUUUCGGCUCGUAAAACUCUGUUGUUAAAGAAGAACACCUUUGAGAGUAACUGUUCAAGGGUUGACGGUAUUUAACCAGAAAGCCACGGCUAACUACGUGCCAGCAGCCGCGGUAAUACGUAGGUGGCAAGCGUUGUCCGGAUUUAUUGGGCGUAAAGCGAGCGCAGGCGGUUUUUUAAGUCUGAUGUGAAAGCCUUCGGCUUAACCGGAGAAGUGCAUCGGAAACUGGGAGACUUGAGUGCAGAAGAGGACAGUGGAACUCCAUGUG